rnacentral:tRNA from 1 species
GGGCCUGUAGCUCAGUGGAUAGAGCAGCGGCCUUCUAAGCCGUAGGUCGGGCGUUCGAAUCGCUCCAGGCCCG